UGGGCCGUAGCCAAGUGGUAAGGCACGGGUCUUUGACUCCCGCAUCCCGCAGGUCCGAAUCCUGCCGGCCCAACCA
rnacentral:tRNA from 1 species